ACGCCUGACUCUUGAAUCAUCAGUGAGUAAUGACGCGGAGCCCCGCAGGCAGACUCUCGGAUCUGGAUUUGAGCUUGAAUCCUUUGAUUUGUUUUCAUCAACACUAACAGCAUUCCCGCAGGCCCUUCACUUCAAAGCCCGGGGAGCUGGUGGCGGAGGGCCUGCAGCUACUGCACAGGGAGGCAGAAAGCAACCCAAACAUCAUUGCCACAGGUGCCAAGAUGAGCUGCGUUGGCUUCCUGUGAAGGCUCCAGCUAUGGAUUCCAAUCCCAGCCUCACCGCUUCCCAGCUGUGUAAACUUCGGCAAGUUUCUUAAACUCUCAGAGCCUCUUCAUCUGUAAACAAGGCUACUUACAGCUCCCCACUCAGCGUGUCCUGGUGAGGAUUAAGAGAGCUAACGGACGCGCUGCACUUUCUCCAUGUUAACUGUUACAAAGAGAUGGCUCCUGGAGUUUGACUCUGGCCCAAAGUGAAGGCUGCCUGGGAUGCAAAGGAGAAGCUCUCAGCCCAGUCUGCUGGGGAAGCACCUGUCAUUGGUUUGGGCCUGGCAGCGUGGUCUCCAAGGAGACGGUAGUGAGACCCCGCCUGUGUCACUGAGCCAGCACUGGGGGACUGAGGCCCAGGGGUCUGUACUGGGACCUCAGGAGAGUCUGAAGGCCAGGCAGCUUUGGGACCGCUGAAGAAAACCCUUCCUCUCUGUUCCUAGGUUGCAUGUAGAUUCUUGGCAGAGGCCUUGGUAUUACCCAGACAUUGUCCCCCGCCCUGCACGGAGGGAGUGACUCCAACAUUAAUUGCAGAUCUGGGGCAAGAACCGGGCCUCUGGAAUCCUUGGCCAGGCUCCUGCUACCCCAGUCUCCUCUCCACUUGGCAAGCUCAGAAGAAAUCAUAGCCAGUUCCCAGCAGACAGGAUGCCUGGUGGGGCUUUGUCAACGGCAGUGCUCUCCCAGGCAGGCUGGGGUGAGAAUGAUUAUGUAGGUCUCUUCGUAAUCAGAAAAGAGAGCUGGAGCCCUUUAAGUGCCGGCUGCUUCAUUUGGUCCCAGAAGAUUGGAUUAGCAUCAACUGUCUGCACUGAACUAGUAGAUAAAAGAC
rnacentral:lncRNA from 1 species